AGCGCAGGCGGGAAGGUAAGUCGGUCUUAAAAGUGCGGGGCUCAACCCCGUGAUGGGAUCGAAACUAUAUUUCUUGAGUGCAGGAGAGGAAAGUGGAAUUCCUAGUGUAGCGGUGAAAUGCGUAGAUAUUAGGAGGAACACCAGUGGCGAAGGCGACUUUCUGGACUGUAACUGACACUGAGGCUCGAAAGCCAGGGUAGUGAACG
rnacentral:rRNA from 1 species